rnacentral:rRNA from 1 species
AUUGAACGCUGGCGGCAGGCCUAACACAUGCAAGUCGAACGGUAGCACAGAGAGCUUGCUCUCGGGUGACGAGUGGCGGACGGGUGAGUAACGUCUGGGAAACUGCCCGAUGGAGGGGGAUAACUACUGGAAACGGUAGCUAAUACCGCAUAACGUCGCAAGACCAAAGUGGGGGACCUUCGGGCCUCACACCAUCGGAUGUGCCCAGAUGGGAUUAGCUAGUAGGUGGGGUAAUGGCUCACCUAGGCGACGAUCCCUAGCUGGUCUGAGAGGGCCACCAGCCACACUGGAACUGAGACACGGUCCAGACUCCUACGGGAGGCAGCAGUGGGGAAUAUUGCACAAUGGGCGCAAGCCUGAUGCGGCCAUGCCGCGUGUAUGAAGAAGGCCUUCGGGUUGUAAAGUACUUUCAGCGGGGAGGAAGGUGCUGAGGUUAAUAAGCUCAGCAAUUGACGUUACCCGCAGAAGAAGCACCGGCUAACUCCGUGCCAGCCGCCGCAGUAA